UACGUAGGGGGCAAGCGUUGUCCGGAAUCAUUGGGCGUAAAGCGCGUGUAGGCGGUUCAGUAAGUCUGCUGUGAAAGUCCAGGGCUCAACCCUGGGAUGCCGGUGGAUACUGCUGGGCUAGAGUACGGAAGAGGCGAGUGGAAUUCCCAGUGUAGCGGUGAAAUGCGUAGAUAUUGGGAAGAACACCUGAGGCGAAGGCGGGUUGCUGGGCCGCAACUGACGCUGAGGAGCGAAAGCAUGGGGAGCGAACAGG
rnacentral:rRNA from 1 species